GAUCUUGGAUGCUAAGCACCGUUAGACUAAGUUAGUACUUGGAUGGGUGACCACUGGGAAAUCCCAGGACCAUGAACU
rnacentral:rRNA from 1 species